UCCGUAGUUUUUGAAUUAGCCAUGGCGUGUACGAGCUUGGUGAAUCAGUGGAUCGGUUAGCAAUCCUUCAAUCAAGGGCCUGGAUCUUCCUGUCGAUUCGUCUCUCCUCGUGUCUCUGUCGUCCAUGCCAAAUCGUACUUCGACGAACUCGUCAAAACCGCCGAUAAAAGAUGGAAAUGCUGAAACACUCUAUCCUAGAUCAUCCUUUGCCAUCAAUUGUACUGGUGAUGUCUGCAAAGGAGAUGUUGUUUUGUUUACACAGAAAGUAUACAAGAAGUUUGGAAAGAGAACUAUUACUGGGAGAGUUGUUAAGGAAAGCUAUGGUGCU